GACGAACGCUGGCGGCGUGCCUAACACAUGCAAGUCGAGCGGGGUAGCCGGAAGGUGUAGCGAUACAGCGGAGGGGUACCUAGCGGCGAACGGGUGAGUAACGCGUGGGCAAUCUGCCCCCGGGGGCGGGAUAACAGACCGAAAGGCCUGCUAAUACCGCAUGAAGCCGUCCUAUCGCAUGAUAAGACGGUAAAAGGGGAAACCCGCCUGGGGAGGAGCCCGCGUCCCAUUAGCUAGUUGGUGGUGUAAAGGACCACCAAGGCGAUGAUGGGUAGCCGGCCUGAGAGGGUGAACGGCCACAUUGGGACUGAGACACGGCCCAGACUCCUACGGGGGGCAGCAGUGAGGGAUUUUCGGCAAUGGGCGGAAGCCUGAACCAGCCAUGCCGCGUGCAGGAUGACGGCCCUACGGGUUGUAAACUGCUUUUCCCCGGGGCGAACUAACCCCCUCGCGAGGGGGAGUGGCGGGUACCGGGGAGUAAGGAGUCGGCUAACUCCGUGCCAGCAGCCGCGUAACGUGUAGUCGU
rnacentral:rRNA from 1 species